GUCCAAGUGAGGGAGAGCAUAUGGCUUGGUCUAGGGUGAUUUCAGUAAACAGAAAGAGCUCUCUCUCAGAUAACCAACCUUGUCAACCAACCUUGGAUCUCAUCUUGCUCCAGGAGCAGCCAUCUGGCUUCUUUUGAGGACACUCAGGUGGCGGCCCUGUGGACAGACCCAAGUGAAGAGGAACUGAGACUUCCAGCCAAAGACCAAUGAGAAAUUGAGGAUUUCAACCAAUAACCAUUUGCAUGAGCCUACCUGGAAGUCACUCCUCCAGCCCUUUCAAGGCUUUAUAUGAUGCAGACCUGGCCAACAGCCUGACAGCAACCUCAUGAGCCAGAAGGACCCGCUAAGCCACUCCCAGGUUUCUGACCCUUAGAAGUUGUGGGCCUGGACUCAGGACCUGUGAGAAGACGCUGUCAGAGGAAUGUCUUCCACUUUUUCUCAGACUCAUCCUGGAGCUGACACAGAUGCCGGUCCCUGAGGCAGGGAGGAAAGGGACCACAGUGCACUUCCUGAAGUCCAAACAAGCUUGCCGGUGCGUGCUGUUCUGACAGGCUGCUGGAGGGGCAGGCAAGGCUGACGCAGGAAAGGAUAGAACAUACUUACCUUCUGAGUCUGAAUGCCGCCCCUCCCCCACCGUAGCCAUGUUUCUAGAGUUUGCCCGAGGACUUCUUGUUGCACCUCACCUCCUUCUUCCUCACUGGAGUUCUGUGCAUUCUGGGUUGCACUCACUGACAUGGGAGUAUCUUCUUGUUCAGAAGAUUAAAACUGCAGGGCAUCAAAUUCUGUUUACUUGCAUAUUUGCCGCUUUCCCUUCCCUCCUGCCCUCAUGGAAGGGUGCUCCCUCCUCCUGUCUCCAUCCGAGCUCCGGGCCCUCACCUCACACCAUCUCUGGGGGUUUGAUUGACUGUGCUUUCCUCACCUGUGUGUGCAUCCACCCUCUCUCCUGCCUCAUUCUCAGCAGCACCUAAAAGCGGC
rnacentral:lncRNA from 1 species